rnacentral:rRNA from 1 species
AUUCAGUAUAAUUUGAUUAUAAAUUUAAUUAUUAUUAUUGAUUUUUUAAAGUAUUAUUUUAUUUAUUAUUAUAAAAGAAAAAUUAAUUUUUUAUUAUAGUUUACUAGUAAAGUGAUUGAAUUUAUUUAUAUAUUAAUAAGAAAAAUUUAUUUUUUGUACCUUGUGUAUCAGGGUUGAUUAAUUUUAUAAUUAUUAUUAAUUUUUCUCGAAUUAAGAAGAGCUAAUUAUGUAUAUGUUUAAUUUUUUCAUAAAUUUUCAUAAUAUAUAAUUUGAAAUGAAAUGUUAUUCGUUUCUUAAUAUAUCUAGUUUUUUAAGAAAAGAAUUUAAUUCUCUUAUUAUUUAUUAUUAGUUAAUUUUUAGUUAAUAAUUUUUAGUAUGAAAUAAAUAAAGGGAUAAGCUUUUAUUUUAAUAAUUAAAAAUUUAUUUGGUUUUAUUUUUUGUAUAAUUUAAAUUGUUAAUCAUUUUUAUAAUAUAAUAGUUAAUUUUAUUUAAUUAAUGAUUUAUAUUUAUUUUAAUUUUUUUAUUAAAAAUUUAUGUUUAAUUUUUUAGCUUUUUAGUAGAUAAAUAUGUAUUUUAUUAUUUAUUUUUAAGAUAAUAAAAAGGAACUCGGCAAAUAAAUUUUUCGCCUGUUUAUUAAAAACAUGUCUUUUUGAUUAUAAUUUAAGGUUUAAUCUGCUCAAUGAUUUAUUAAAUUGCCGCAGUAUUUUGACUGUGCAAAGGUAGCAUAAUAAUUAGCUUUUUUAUUGAGAGCUGGAAUGAAUGAUUGGACGAAAAAAUUUCUGUCUCUUUAUUAUUUAUUAUUUAAUUUUACUUUUAAGUUAAAAGGCUUAAAUUUUUUUAAAAGACGAGAAGACCCUAUAGAGUUUUAUUUUUAUUUUUUGAUUAAUUUUUAGAAUUUAAAAUAUUUUAUAAAAUAAAAAAUUUAGUUGGGGUGACUGAAAGAUUAAUUAAACUCUUUUAAUUGAAAUCAUUUAUUUAUGAAUAGAGAAAUUAUUUUUAUAAAUUUAAAAUAAAUUACCUUAGGGAUAACAGCGUUAUUUUUCUUUAGAGUUCUUAUUGAAAGGAAAGAUUGCGACCUCGAUGUUGGAUUAAAAUUUAUUUUUGGUGUAGAAGCUUAAAUAUUAAGUCUGUUCGACUUUUAAAAUUUUACAUGAUCUGAGUUUAAACCGGUGUAAGCCAGGUUGGUUUCUAUCUUUAAAUUUUUAAUAUAUUUUAGUACGAAAGGACCAAAUAUAUAAUAUAUUAUUUUAUUUUGAAUAAUAUU